UACGGAGGGUGCGAGCGUUGUCCGGAAUCAUUGGGCGUAAAGGGCGCGUAGGUGGCCCGGUCAGUCCGUGGUGAAAGCGCGGGGCUCAACCCCGCGUCGGCCAUGGAUACUGCUGGGCUGGAGCACUGUAGGGGCAGGCGGAAUUCCGGGUGUAGCGGUGGAAUGCGUAGAGAUCCGGAAGAACACCGGUGGCGAAGGCGGCCUGCUGGGCAGUUGCUGACACUGAGGCGCGACAGCGUGGGGAGCAAACAGG
rnacentral:rRNA from 1 species